rnacentral:rRNA from 1 species
UACGGGGGGGGCAAGCGUUGUUCGGAAUUACUGGGCGUAAAGGGCUCGUAGGCGGCCAACUAAGUCAGACGUGAAAUCCCCAGGCUCAACCUGGGAACUGCGUCUGAUACUGGAUGGCUUGAAUUCGGGAGAGGGAUGCAGAAUUCCAGGUGUAGCGGUGAAAUGCGUAGAUAUCUGGAGGAAUACCGGUGGCGAAGGCGGCAUCCUGGACCGGUAUUGACGCUGAGGCGCGAAAGCGUGGGGAGCGAACAGG